GACGAACGCUGGCGGCGUGCUUAACACAUGCAAGUCGAGCGGUAAGGCCCUUUCGGGGGUACGACGAGCGGCGAACGGGUGAGUAACACGUGGGUGACCUGCCCUCAGCUCUGGGAUAAGCCUGGGAAACCGGGUCUAAUACUGGAUAUGACUCCAUGACGCAUGUUGUGGGGUGGAAAGCCUUGUGCGGCUGAGGAUGGGCCCGCGGCCUAUCAGCUUGUUGGUGGGGUGAGGCCUACCAAGGCGACGACGGGUAGCCGGCCUGAGAGGGCGACCGGCCACACUGGGACUGAGACACGGCCCAGACUCCUACGGGAGGCAGCAGUGGGGAAUCUUGCGCAAUGGACGAAAGCCUGACGCAGCGACGCCGCGUGAGGGAUGACGGCCUGGUUGUAA
rnacentral:rRNA from 1 species